AACUGAACAUGUGACAGAUAUAUAGAUAUAUACUGUAGAUAUACCCCCAGUUUUUCAUUCUUCAAAGAUCUGUUUUGUUUGUUUGUUUGAGUCAUAGAGGUUUGGUAAAAAAUAACAAUGGUGCUUUUUGUCAUUUUGAAGCUUGACUGACCCAAUCCCCUUUCAAAAUAUUGCCUUUUGUGUGCCACAGAAGAGAGAAAAUCUCAGAGGAACAACAUGAGUCACAUGGAUUUGCUUAAUCAGAUAAAGUCAUUCCUCCUGAUAACAUCACAUCUGGAGGAGUCCUGACUGAACUGCCAGCCGACACUGAAUUGUGAGGCCAGCCAGCUAAAAUGAGCCUCUAGAUUUGAUCUUAUACACACCCAGCCUUUGAAGAGAUUAUGAUUAAAUAGUGUGACGUGUGGGGCAG
ensembl:lncRNA